UACGGAGGGAGCUAGCGUUGUUCGGAAUUACUGGGCGUAAAGCGCGCGUAGGCGGCUUUGUAAGUUAGAGGUGAAAGCCCGGGGCUCAACCCCGGAAUUGCCUUUAAGACUGCAUCGCUUGAAUCCGGGAGAGGUGAGUGGAAUUCCGAGUGUAGAGGUGAAAUUCGUAGAUAUUCGGAAGAACACCAGUGGCGAAGGCGGCUCACUGGACCGGCAUUGACGCUGAGGUGCGAAAGCAUGGGGAGCGAAACAGGG
rnacentral:rRNA from 1 species